rnacentral:rRNA from 1 species
GAUGAACGCUGGCGGCGUGCCUAACACAUGCAAGUCGAGCGAACAGACGAUGAGCUUGUUCCUUCGACGUUAGCGGCGGACGGGUGUGUCACACGUAGAUCACCUACUUAUAUUUCUGGGAUAAUUACGGAACAGCGGAGAUAAUACCAGAGAAUAUCUCGCACCGCGUUGUUCGAUGGAGAAUGUUGGCUUUGCUGUCUGUUCUAGCUGGUCCUGGGCGGGAUUAGCUGGUUGGUAAGGUCCCGGCCUACCAAGGCGACGAUUCGUAUACGAACUGAGAGGGUGAUCGGCGACACUGGAACUGAGACACGGUCCAUACUCCUACGGGAGGCAGCAGUAGGGAAUGUUCGGCAAUGGGCGAAAGCCUGACGCAGCAACGCCGCGUGAGUGACGAAGGCCUUCGGAGCGUAAAGCCCUGUUAUUGGGGAAGAACAGCUGUGGAAGGAAACGAGGCCGGCGUGACGGUACCUAAUCAAAAAGCACCGGCUAACUACGUG